GUGAAACUGCAUAGAGGUUAAGCCCGAUGAACCUGAAUAUCCGUUAUAGAAAAUUCAUCAUCAGUAUUAUAUUAUUUUUAUAAAUAAUAUAUAAUGGUGUGCACUUUUUCUAUUUAAGGACAUUGUAAUCUGUUAAUGUUUAAAUGCGUAUUAUAAGAGCUUUUACAAUAGUUUAUUCAUUUUUUAAUGUAUUUAUAUAUUAAAUGGAAUAAAUGUUUAAGUUUCGAAUAUGCCAUUGACAGAUUUAUUAUAUGUAGUACUUGAAUUUUCGAAUUCUAUAAUAAUAUGUUUAUCAUUGAUUUAUGUAUUUAUUAUAUGUACUUAUAUGAUUAACAAUGCGAAAGAUUCAGGAUACCUUCGGGACCCGUCUUGAAACACGGACCAAGGAGUCUAACAUAUGUGCAAGUCAUUGGGUAUAAAAACCUAAAGGCGAAAUUAACUUAACUGUUAAUGGGAUUAGUUUAUAUUUUUUAUAAAUAUAUAUUCAAUCCCGGGGCGUUCUAUAUAGUUAUGUAUAAUAGUAUUUAUAUUAUUUAUGCCUCUAACUGGAGCGUACCUUGAGCACAUAUGCUGUGACCCGAAAGAUGGUGAACUAUACUUGAUCAGGUUGAAGUCA
rnacentral:rRNA from 1 species